AAGAUCAUCAAGUGCAACUGUUAACCGAGCACUGCCAAGUCUACCACUAAUCUGUGUAAUCACAUGGUGUCAUCACAUCAGUACCCAGGAGACUCACGGGAACCUUUGGCAAAGCAGCUUGUGCCGUGAAUGUUGUUCCUCAGUUCUGCCGCCUCCUGUUUGUUUUCUUACAGAAGUGUUGCUAAGUGCCACGGUUUGUCUCCACUGCACUGCUGAGUUGCUCUGUUAAAGUAAUGUUGAUAGCAACGCUUUCUCCAGGAAGGAGAGACCUGUCUUCACUUUCUGAUUCAUAAGGAAAGACAAACACCUGAAUUUGUCAGAGAUGUAUUUCAGGCCCCCAGGCGUUUGCACUUGUCUUUUACAAAGCUCAUACUGAUUUUCUGAAUACUUGCAUCGUUAUUUAUAGAAAAGCUUUUAAGGGAAGUCUCCAAUGCUGGAACUCAGUGCUUAUUCUGGAGAAGCUAAAGCUUCAUCAGUUUGUCACAUUUUCUUACUUAAGGAUGAACCUGGGCUGCAACAUGUCCAUUAGAAAGAUAAGUUGGAUGCUUUGGAGACUGACCAGUUGGCAGUAA
rnacentral:lncRNA from 1 species